rnacentral:lncRNA from 1 species
AGAGUUAUUUGAAACGUGUUUCAUUUGUUCUUUACAAAGUGUUAGAUACAAUUUCACUGCACAUAAGAAUUUUCAAGCUCGGUUAAAAUGUAUUUUCAAGCAUACAAACCACAACUAAACAACACAAAUGUAAAUAUAUACGAUUGAGUCAUACUUCCUAGAAAAAGGCAAGCAAUGGACUGGUAAUAGGUAGGCCUGUUUUAGAGAGAUUGUGGUAAACUAAAAUUCAUUAUUACAUGCAAAAUGUUUUUGCUUCGGAGCAGAACACUGACUAUCUCUGUCUUUGUAUCUUUUUCUUCCCAGAGCUAGAGUGUGAUGCCUUGCUCCUAUUCAUGGCUCUUUGACCUAAAAAUUUUGAACAAUCUAAAUUAGUUAUUCAUUCAAUGGGAAAUCUGAAGUGGGGAUUACUUCGCCAAUAUUAUUAGCAAGUUUAUGAGGGAAAAGAAAAAUGGUCGAGGUUCCUUGAUCCUAGUAACAUGAGCUGAGAUUAUUUUGUCAGGGACUCAUGGUCAUGGCUGUAUAUAAUUUUCACAAGCAACACACCCUAUGUGACAACCUACCUUCGAUCACAAAGCUAUAUAAUCUAUAUAAUAGACAAAAAUGGAGCCUUCGAUAACCUAAAUACCUAUUUUUCCUACCAUAGUGUGAUGAGGCUCUGAAACUGCACAUACAGGGAUUUUCAUGGGACCAUUCAGGACUUUGAAAAAAGAUACAAAACUGCAUUCAGCCCCUCCAUCUAAGGGUACCUCAAUAAUAAACCAAUACUUCAUGAUAGAAUAAUCUGAAAAUCAUACUCCCUCCGUCCCAAAAUUCUUGUCUUAGAUUUGUCUAGAUACAUAUGUAUCUAAUACUAAAACGUGACUUGAUACACUCGUAUUUAGAAAAAUCUAAGACAAGAAUUUUGGGACGGAGGGAGCAUAUGAUAACAAUGCAAAAUAAUCUUGCAGCACCUCCUAAAACUGUAAAAGCUGUGAAAUUGGCAGUCAACUUACUAUCAAUAGGAAACACCACACUAUGAUAACAAUGCAAAAUAAUCUUGCAGCACCUCCUAAAACUGUAAAAGCUGUGAAAUUGGAAGUCAACUUACUAUCAACGGAAAACACCACACUGCACUAUAUUUUUCCAGGAACAAGAUGCUAAUAUGCUUUCCCGUUCCCACUGCAAGGAUGCAUGUCGUCUCCCCAUUCUCCACCGCGAGGACGCCGGCACGUCCCUGUUCUCCACCGCUAGGACGCUCAACUCCUCCCCUAUCUCCACCAUAAGGACGUUGGGCGCCUCUUCGAUUGCCACCCUGAGCACCACAUUGAGGUCGUCUAGCAAUGUACUGUUGAAGAAACUCCUUUUCAUUGUCCCCCUCUCUUAAUUUUUCACAGCACAUACCACUUGUUAUUCUACACCUAGGACGACUGUUCUUGUAGAUUUUGCUGACCACCAUAUUCUACAGUAAUUAGUAUGGUUGCAGUCCAAUGUGUUGAUUUUCAGCGGGCCAAUGUGUUGAUUGACUAAUUUUGUGCAUCAAAAACAGUAGGGCAAUGUUGAUGAAUCAGUUUUGUUUAGUAAAAAAUAGAGUCCGUAACAAUACUAUAAAAGCGCUAGUCUCCAAAGUCCACCAUGCCGCAAAAAACAUUUAGCACCCAUUUAAAUAUGGAUUUGGGUUCAUAUAUACACAAAGCACAGUAAUUAUUGUGAAGCAAGAAAAAGAAUGCUCCUACUAUCAGAAAUAUGUGCCAACAACAACACCAUCCUAUUAGAGCUCGAAAACAUGAACAAAUAAGGCACCUAUACCUGUUCUUGGAGCUGUGUCUGAACCUACAUUUGCAUAUGUAGAGCUUCUGCCAAGUUCCUAAGAAAAGGAGAAGGGGACAGAUGUAAAUUUUUAAGGUCAUGGUAUUUACCAUGCAUACAUUCCAGUGUAAUAAUUCAGAGAUAUUACUUGUUUUUGAACGGAGCAGAAUCAAUACGAUUAUUAGUAAAAAAUAGAGUCUGUAACAAUACUAUAAAAGUGCUAGUCUCCAAAGUCCACCAUGCCGCAAAAACAUUUAUCACCCAUUUAAAUAUGGAUUUGGGUUCAUAUAUACAGAAAGCGCAGUAAUUAUUGUGAAGUAAGAAAAAGAAUGCUCCUACUAUCAGAAAUAUAUGCCGACAAGAACACCAUCCUAUUAGAGCUCGAAAACAGGAACAGAGAAGGCACCUAUAGCUGUUCAUGGAGCUGUGUCUGAACCUCCAUUUGCAUAUGUAGAGCUUCUGCCAAGUUCCUGAGAAAAGCAGAAGGGGACAUAUGUAAAUUUGUAAGGUCAUGGUAUUUACCAUGCAUACAUUCUAGUGUAAUAAUUCAGAGAUAUUACUUGUUUUUGAACGGAGCAUUUCCACUGCUACCUAGUUGUACCUUCUUAAUGUCCGAGGAGGCCUCCUUGUCUGCAUAGAGUAUGCAUAAAAAUUCAGUAUAAAAAAGGACGACUCAUGACUAGAAAGAUCAUUGUCGCAAUUUGGAAUGACAUGUUCUAGUAGGAAUCCUAGAUAUACAAAGAGAGUAUUAGUUCAGCAGAAUCAAUAUGAUUAUGCAACAAACUAUCAACCAUUGCACUAUAUCUCAAGAAUUUAUAGUGUAGCCACCAAACGAAGUGGUAAUCAAGGCAACAUCAAUCUAACAACAAUGGCUGACCGAUGAUGUUUUAGUCCUUCUGGAUUACUAAUUCAGAGGAACUGUAACAAAAAUCGCUCUUUGGUGAAUAGCAUCAACUGAUUCUUUGAACUCUAAAUUCCACUCUUAGCUAAAAUUAGUCUUCCUCUCUUCUAUGUCAGAUCUACACACGUCAAGUUUAAAUAUCCAUAUAAUAGCAAAGUAAAAUAGGUGUGAGGAAGAAAUUAAAAGAGGGAGAGAAAGAGUGGAUCACCUAGUUCGCCGCCAGCCUGCAUCGCUCGAGCCGCCUGCAAUAGGCACAUGUUGUCCUCCUUAUACUCCAGAUCCAUGAGGCAGCCAUGGGAGGAGGGGUGAUCUCCUGGUUCCUCUCGCCUUCCCACACCGCCUGAUCACCUCAAGCUCCUUGCCCAGUGGGAGGGGGGUGGAGGCAGAGGUUGCGUCUCUCAUAGGCAGAGGAUGCGCCUCUCAUGGUGCAGAGGAGGCGACGACACGGUGGCGCAACAAAUCAGCCGGCAGGUGUGCGAGGCCUCACCCUGCCCCUUCCCCAUGCUAGGAUCGCUCACCUUCUCCUUCCCCGCUGUUGCUUGGCUUCCUCGGCGGCCUCCUCCUUCCCUCCUUGUCCACAUCCUACACCUCCCCUACAUCCCCACCCGCACCGUGAAGCUAACCUACGUCCGAUCUGGGUCGGCGGUGAC